AUUGAACGCUGGCGGAAUGCUUUACACAUGCAAGUCGAACGGCAGCACGGACUUCGGUCUGGUGGCGAGUGGCGAACGGGUGAGUAAUGUAUCGGAACGUGCCCAGUCGUGGGGGAUAACGUAGUGAAAAUUACGCUAAUACCGCAUACGAUCUAUGGACGAAAGCGGGGGAUCGAAAGACCUCGCGCGAUUGGAGCGGCCGAAAUCAGAUUAGGUAGUUGGUGGGGUAAAGGCCCACCAAGCCAACGAUCUGUAGCUGGUCUGAGCGGACGACCAGCCACACUGGAACUGAGACACGGUCCAGACUCCUACGGGAGGCAGCAGUGGGGAAUUUUGGACAAUGGGCGAAAGCCUGAUCCAGCCAUUCCGCGUGCAGGAUGAAGGCCCUCGGGUUGUAAACUGCUUUUGUACAGAACGAAAAGGUUUCUACUAAUACUAGGAGCUCAUGACGGUACUGUAAGAAUAAGCACCGGCUAACUACGUGCCAGCAGCCGCAGUAA
rnacentral:rRNA from 1 species